GAUGAACGCUGGCGGCGUGCCUAACACAUGCAAGUCGAGCGAGCCCUUCGGGGUGAGCGGCGGACGGGUGAGUAACGCGUGGGUAACCUGCCCUGUACACACGGAUAACAUACCGAAAGGUAUGCUAAUACAAGAUAAUAUAUUUUAAUCGCAUGGUUAAGAUAUCAAAGCUCCGGCGGUACAGGAUGGACCCGCGUCUGAUUAGCUAGUUGGUGAGGUAAUGGCUCACCAAGGCGACGAUCAGUAGCCGACCUGAGAGGGUGAUCGGCCACACUGGAACUGAGACACGGUCCAGAGUCCUACGGGAGGCAGCAGUGGGAAUAUUGCACAAUGGGCGAAAGCCUGAUGCAGCAACGCCGCGUGAGCGAUGAAGGCCUUCGGGUCGUAAAGCUCUGUCCUCAAGGAAGAUAAUGACGGUACUUGAGGAGGAAGCCCCGGCUAACUACGUGCCAGCCGCCGCAGUAA
rnacentral:rRNA from 1 species